rnacentral:rRNA from 1 species
GAUUAAGUUAUUAAGGGCGCACGGUGGAUGCCUUGGCACUAGAAGCCGAUGAAGGACGUUACUAACGACGAUAUGCUUUGGGGAGCUGUAAGUAAGCUUUGAUCCAGAGAUUUCCGAAUGGGGAAACCCAGCAUGAGUUAUGUCAUGUUAUCGAUAUGUGAAUACAUAGCAUAUCAGAAGGCACACCCGGAGAACUGAAACAUCUUAGUACCCGGAGGAAGAGAAAGAAAAUUCGAUUCCCUUAGUAGCGGCGAGCGAAACGGGAAGAGCCCAAACCAACAAGCUUGCUUGUUGGGGUUGUAGGACACUCUAUACGGAGUUACAAAGGACGACAUUAGACGAAUCAUCUGGAAAGAUGAAUCAAAGAAGGUAAUAAUCCUGUAGUCGAAAAUGUUGUCUCUCUUGAGUGGAUCCUGAGUACGACGGAGCACGUGAAAUUCCGUCGGAAUCUGGGAGGACCAUCUCCUAAGGCUAAAUACUCUCUAGUGACCGAUAGUGAACCAGUACCGUGAGGGAAAGGUGAAAAGCACCCCGGAAGGGGAGUGAAAUAGAACCUGAAACCGUGUGCUUACAAGUAGUCAGAGCCCGUUAAUGGGUGAUGGCGUGCCUUUUGUAGAAUGAACCGGCGAGUUACGAUUUGAUGCAAGGUUAAGCAGUAAAUGUGGAGCCGUAGCGAAAGCGAGUCUGAAUAGGGCGUUUAGUAUUUGGUCGUAGACCCGAAACCAGGUGAUCUACCCUUGGUCAGGUUGAAGUUCAGGUAACACUGAAUGGAGGACCGAACCGACUUACGUUGAAAAGUGAGCGGAUGAACUGAGGGUAGCGGAGAAAUUCCAAUCGAACCUGGAGAUAGCUGGUUCUCUCCGAAAUAGCUUUAGGGCUAGCCUCAAGUGAUGAUUAUUGGAGGUAGAGCACUGUUUGGACGAGGGGCCCCUCUCGGGUUACCGAAUUCAGACAAACUCCGAAUGCCAAUUAAUUUAACUUGGGAGUCAGAACAUGGGUGAUAAGGUCCGUGUUCGAAAGGGAAACAGCCCAGACCACCAGCUAAGGUCCCAAAAUAUAUGUUAAGUGGAAAAGGAUGUGGCGUUGCCCAGACAACUAGGAUGUUGGCUUAGAAGCAGCCAUCAUUUAAAGAGUGCGUAAUAGCUCACUAGUCGAGUGACACUGCGCCGAAAAUGUACCGGGGCUAAACAUAUUACCGAAGCUGUGGAUUGUCCUUUGGACAAUGGUAGGAGAGCGUUCUAAGGGCGUUGAAGCAUGAUCGUAAGGACAUGUGGAGCGCUUAGAAGUGAGAAUGCCGGUGUGAGUAGCGAAAGACGGGUGAGAAUCCCGUCCACCGAUUGACUAAGGUUUCCAGAGGAAGGCUCGUCCGCUCUGGGUUAGUCGGGUCCUAAGCUGAGGCCGACAGGCGUAGGCGAUGGAUAACAGGUUGAUAUUCCUGUACCACCUAUAAUCGUUUUAAUCGAUGGGGGGACGCAGUAGGAUAGGCGAAGCGUGCGAUUGGAUUGCACGUCUAAGCAGCAAGGCUGAGUAUUAGGCAAAUCCGGUACUCGUUAAGGCUGAGCUGUGAUGGGGAGAAGACAUUGUGUCUUCGAGUCGUUGAUUUCACACUGCCGAGAAAAGCCUCUAGAUAGAAAAUAGGUGCCCGUACCGCAAACCGACACAGGUAGUCAAGAUGAGAAUUCUAAGGUGAGCGAGCGAACUCUCGUUAAGGAACUCGGCAAAAUGACCCCGUAACUUCGGGAGAAGGGGUGCUCUUUAGGGUUAACGCCCAGAAGAGCCGCAGUGAAUAGGCCCAAGCGACUGUUUAUCAAAAACACAGGUCUCUGCUAAACCGUAAGGUGAUGUAUAGGGGCUGACGCCUGCCCGGUGCUGGAAGGUUAAGAGGAGUGGUUAGCUUCUGCGAAGCUACGAAUCGAAGCCCCAGUAAACGGCGGCCGUAACUAUAACGGUCCUAAGGUAGCGAAAUUCCUUGUCGGGUAAGUUCCGACCCGCACGAAAGGCGUAACGAUUUGGGCACUGUCUCAACGAGAGACUCGGUGAAAUCAUAGUACCUGUGAAGAUGCAGGUUACCCGCGACAGGACGGAAAGACCCCGUGGAGCUUUACUGUAGCCUGAUAUUGAAAUUCGGCACAGCUUGUACAGGAUAGGUAGGAGCCUUUGAAACGUGAGCGCUAGCUUACGUGGAGGCGCUGGUGGGAUACUACCCUAGCUGUGUUGGCUUUCUAACCCGCACCACUUAUCGUGGUGGGAGACAGUGUCAGGCGGGCAGUUUGACUGGGGCGGUCGCCUCCUAAAAGGUAACGGAGGCGCUCAAAGGUUCCCUCAGAAUGGUUGGAAAUCAUUCAUAGAGUGUAAAGGCAUAAGGGAGCUUGACUGCGAGACCUACAAGUCGAGCAGGGUCGAAAGACGGACUUAGUGAUCCGGUGGUUCCGCAUGGAAGGGCCAUCGCUCAACGGAUAAAAGCUACCCCGGGGAUAACAGGCUUAUCUCCCCCAAGAGUUCACAUCGACGGGGAGGUUUGGCACCUCGAUGUCGGCUCAUCGCAUCCUGGGGCUGUAGUCGGUCCCAAGGGUUGGGCUGUUCGCCCAUUAAAGCGGUACGCGAGCUGGGUUCAGAACGUCGUGAGACAGUUCGGUCCCUAUCCGUCGUGGGCGUAGGAAAUUUGAGAGGAGCUGUCCUUAGUACGAGAGGACCGGGAUGGACAUACCUCUGGUGUACCAGUUGUCGUGCCAACGGCAUAGCUGGGUAGCUAUGUGUGGACGGGAUAAGUGCUGAAAGCAUCUAAGCAUGAAGCCCCCCUCAAGAUGAGAUUUCCCAACUUCGGUUAUAAGAUCCCUCAAAGAUGAUGAGGUUAAUAGGUUCGAGGUGGAAGCAUGGUGACAUGUGGAGCUGACGAAUACUAAUCGAUCGAAGACUUAAUCAA